GUGAAACAAGUGAUAUUUCAUUAUACAAGUUUUGCCGCGCAAUCUGCGCGGGUCAACCCGCUAGUUGUACAUGAAUUUCGCAUUUGAAUUCUUGCAUGACUCCGAGAAAGAACAACUAGCACUUUAGCGUCACAACGAAUUGAAGGAAAAGAAAACGUGCAUCACUGGGGGAGCCGGGGAGCACCACCUCACAAGUCAGAAUCGUGUUCAUCGCCACGCAAAAGCCAUUCCUUCCCCAUGAGAGCUUUCAUGGUCAUCUUACUACAUGCCCCCCCGUCUGAAUCACCCCGCAUUCUCGU
rnacentral:lncRNA from 1 species